rnacentral:rRNA from 1 species
ACGGUCCUAAGGUAGCGAAAUUCCUUGUCAGGUAAGUUCUGACCCGCACGAAAGGCGUAAUGAUUUGAACACUGUCUCAACAAUGUACCCGGCGAAAUUGUAGUACUAGUGAAGAUGCUAGUUACCUGCGACAAGACAGAAAGACCCCAUGGAGCUUUACUGCAGCUUGAUACUGGGUUUUGGUAAUUUAUGUACAGGAUAGGUGGGAUACUAAGAAGCAAGUGCGCCAGCAUUUGUGGAGUAGACGUUGGGAUACCACUCUUAAAUUAUUGAAAUUCUAACCUGUGAUCAUGAACUGGUCAGGGGACAAUGUCAGGCGGGCAGUUUGACUGGGGCGGUCGCCUCCUAAAGAGUAACGGAGGCGCCCAAAGGUUUCCUCAGCACGGACAGAAAUCGUGCGAAAGAGUGUAAAGGCAGAAGGAAGCUUAACUGGGAGACUGACAAGUCGAGCAGAUACGAAAGUAGGGCUUAGUGAUCCGGCGGUAGUGAGUGGAAAUGCCGUCGCUCAACGGACAAAAGUUACCCUGGGGAUAACAGGCUUAUCUCCCCCAAGAGUUCACAUCGACGGGGAGGUUUGGCACCUCGAUGUCGGCUCAUCGCAUCCUGGAGCGGAAGUACGUUCCAAGGGUUGGGCUGUUCGCCCAUUAAAGCGGUACGCGAGCUGGGUUCAGAACGUCGUGAGACAGUUCGGUCCUUAUCUGUCGCAGGCGUAGGAUAUUUGAAGGGAGCUGUCCUUAGUACGAGAGGACCAGGAUGGACAUACCGAUGGUGUAUCAGUUGUCACACCAGUGGCACGGCUGAGUAGCUAAGUAUGGAAGGGAUAAACGCUGAAAGCAUCUAAGUGUGAAGCCCACCUUAAGAUAAGAUAUCCCAUUGCGUAAGCAAGUAAGAUCCCAUGAAGACUACAUGGUAGAUAGGUUGGGGGUGUAAGUACAGUAAUGUAUUAAGCUGACCAAUACUAAUAGAUCGAGGGCUUAACCAC